UCUGGCUGUUCUCCUCCUGGAACUGUUCAUCUCAACACUACAGCAGCAGAGAUCCAUAGGUGCUGUGGAUUUGCUAUCAUGCCACUGCUACCCCAGCACAGAAGAACACGCUGAGGCUUCCAACAGCAUGCGAAGAAAACAUACCCACGAUGGAAAACGCAACAGAGAAUUUGUCUUUGACACUGUCACUCAUACCUGGCAAGACAAGUGUGUUCAUAAAAGCAGGUGAGGCUACACCAUUGACCCCCUCAGAGAGUCAUGGCUGCUCAGCAGAACAGACCUUGGAAAAGCUGGGCAAGGACAGGUCCAUCAAAUCUGCUACACAAAGGUGACACUCCAGAGUUCAGAGAAGGGGUCAAACAAGGAGAGCUUCCAGGUCCACUGCAGGUUUGUGGCUGGUGAAGAAUACCCCUCUCUCUCUCUCUCACCAUUCUCAAAUUCUGAUUUCAUUUUCUGAAUACACACAAAUUAUGCUAAAUUAAAACAUGAAAGAUGCUGUGACAGGUUUCAUAAUAAACAGGCUCACUGCUUCUCCCCA